rnacentral:rRNA from 1 species
CCUACGGGUGGCAGCAGUGAGGAAUAUUGGUCAAUGGGCGGAAGCCUGAACCAGCCAAGUAGCGUGCAGGAUGACGGCCCUACGGGUUGUAAACUGCUUUUAUACGGGAAUAACGCGCCUUACGUGUAGGGCUUUGCAUGUACCGUAUGAAUAAGGACCGGCUAAUUCCGUGCCAGCAGCCGCGGUAAUACGGAGGGUCCGGGCGUUAUCCGGAUUUAUUGGGUUUAAGGGGAGCGUAGGCCGCAUGUCAAGCGUGCUGUGAAAUGUCCGGGCUCACCCCGGGCCUGGAAGCGGGAACUGGGGGACUAGAGUACGGGGAGGGGAGGCGGAAUUCGGGGGGUAGCGGUGAAAUGCUUAGAUA